rnacentral:rRNA from 1 species
AUUGAACGCUGGCGGAAUGCUUUACACAUGCAAGUCGAACGGCAGCACGGGUGCUUGCACCUGGUGGCGAGUGGCGAACGGGUGAGUAAUACAUCGGAACGUACCCAGUUAUGGGGGAUAACUAACCGAAAGGUUAGCUAAUACCGCAUACGCCCUGAGGGGGAAAGCGGGGGACCGUAAGGCCUCGCGUAAUUGGAGCGGCCGAUGUCUGAUUAGCUAGUUGGUGAGGUAAAGGCUCACCAAGGCGACGAUCAGUAGCUGGUCUGAGAGGACGACCAGCCACACUGGAACUGAGACACGGUCCAGACUCCUACGGGAGGCAGCAGUGGGGAAUUUUGGACAAUGGGCGCAAGCCUGAUCCAGCCAUUCCGCGUGAGUGAAGAAGGCCUUCGGGUUGUAAAGCUCUUUCGGCAGGGAAGAAACGGUUCUGGAUAAUACCCGGAGCUAAUGACGGUACCUGAAGAAGAAGCACCGGCUAACUACGUGCCAGCCGCCGCGGUAA